UGAGUGGAGAGUCAUUUUUGAGCAACUUGGGUGAGUCUUGUGAAACCAAAAGAGAAGAUCCUUAGGAAAUCAAAGCUAAGGGUUGGUUCUCUUUUGGGGGUUAGAUUCUAGAGUUGGGAAACAAUUGUAAACACCUUGGGAGAGUGAAAAUCAUGAGUGUCUUGUUCAUUGGUGAGAUUGGGAAAAUGGGUAGAAAUUAG
rnacentral:lncRNA from 1 species